GGAAGCGGCAGCGCCGCCUCGGGUCCCUGGGGGAGGCUUGCCUUUUCCUUGGAAGGGUGACAAGAGGAGGAGCGACGGCCACCCUGGGAGGGGGGGGGAGGGCAAGAUGCGCGAAAAAGGCGAGGAAAGGCGGAGAUUUGCAAUAGGUAUGUUAAAGCUGCUGAAUGUGGAGAACCAUGGGACUGAGUAUGCCAUACAUCAGAUUCCUGAGAAUUCCAUUCUCUGGAGUCCGUAUUUCGCUGGUGACUUUAGGGUGACAAACAAUUAAUGGGAUGCACAAGUGUCAAACAAAAGGCAGAAAAGGCACACCGCUGCUGGGAAAGCACGAAGAGUGGAGUAAUGUGAUUAUGAGCAAAGAAAACCGGGGAAGGCUACCAUCCGUUGAGAGCCUGCCUGUGGUGCUUUGGAGAACAGCCCGAUUCCCUCUUCUUUGUGGCAAUCCCUGAGAUGUAUGUAUGUAUGUAUGUAUGUAUGUAUGUAUGUAUGUAUGUAUGUAUGUAUGUAUGUCU